rnacentral:rRNA from 1 species
AUUGAACGCUGGCGGCAUGCCUUACACAUGCAAGUCGAACGCGAAAGCGGGGCAACCCGCAAGUAGAGUGGCGAACGGGUGAGUAAUACAUCGGAACGUGUCCAGUAGCGGGGGAUAACCUCUCGAAAGAGAGGCUAAUACCGCAUACGACCUACGGGUGAAAGAGGAGGAUCGCAAGACCUCUCACUAUUGGAGCGGCCGAUGUCGGAUUAGCUAGUUGGCGGGGAAAAGCCCACCAAGGCUACGAUCCGUAGCUGGUCUGAGAGGACGACCAGCCACACUGGAACUGAGACACGGUCCAGACUCCUACGGGAGGCAGCAGUGGGGAAUUUUGGACAAUGGGCGAAAGCCUGAUCCAGCCAUGCCGCGUGAGUGAAGAAGGCCUGGUGUAAG